rnacentral:lncRNA from 1 species
UCUAUCCAUGAAGACUGAAACUUGGUCAUAGACCUACAUUUUACUUGAAGUAUAGAAUAAAAUUUUCAUUGUAGAAACAGCAAUAGGGUUGGUCUGGAUGUUAAUAAGAAAAUUCUGGUAUUCAUUUUUCAGAAUCUCAGCCCAAAGUAGAUGAUGUGGACAUCUUCACUGCAGCUCGGCUUCUCCAAUACCUAAUGUUAUUCUUUAUUAUUUAUAUGUGCAGAAGAGAAUAUCACAAAAGUGAGACAAGGAAGGAAGAAAUUAAGCCAGAGCAAGAAGAACUUCAGAAAAAACUUGGUAAGAUGUCUCUGACAACUCUUUACUAACCAUUGAAGUGGCUGCUGUCUUGGUCUUUAGUGCUCCCUGUCAUUUUACCUACAUGACAUCCCUUGGCUCACCCUUCUCCUAGAUGUCUACUCUUCGCUCCCCCAUAUUUUUGUUUAUGAACUUCUUCCAUGUUACCUUCUCCCCAUUUCUGUUUUUCUACCUUUCACUCAUUCCCAUUGCUUCUGUUUUCAUUCCAUACUGAUCCUUCCUUGUAAACAUUGGCUUCUUCCGUUUUCAAGAAACUUGCCAUAGUUGUAUGAUGAUGUUGAAGAGAUGAAGGGAAUUAGGUGGAUAGGCAUCUGGUUUCCAUUCUACAUAUAUUUUCUAGAAAAUGACCAUUAAGUUAGGACCUCUGUUAUGUAUCUGAAGUAGGAGGGCACAGUAAGAUGCCUUCAGUUUUACCGCAAACCUUAAGAAAUGAGAGAACAGUCCUACAUUGCUGAAUGAGGUUUCUCCCUCCAUUGUCCUUUGAAAGACUGUAAAUUCUCUUGUCUCUUAUUGAUCAAGUGUGAAGUUGAGGUUCACUUUCAACUGUCCUUGAACAUAUUACCCAAGUGCUCCCAGGUAUACAAAUAUUUUACAUAAUUUUUCCUGUUGUUUUUCCCUUUUCAAAGAUAGUAUGUAUCAUUUAUACUUUUGUGUUUUUACCAAAACAAUUAUCAAUUCUGGGAACUGCAAUUCCUUUUAAAUGUUUAUAGAAGAACUUUAUAUAUUAAGGAAAGUUCAUUGAUAAUAUAUUUCUCAAAUCACAAUAUUUUAAGCUGUUGUUCUAGGACAUUUCCAAAAAUUUUUUCAUAAAACCUUA